ensembl:lncRNA
AGGGAGAGAGAGAGAGAGAGAGAGAGAGAACGAGAAAAUAAAAAACAAGAAACUAAAACUAAAACUUCUGCGACAAACGCACUUCCACCUUCCAACUUGUGUCUCGGCGGCACAAAGAUCACCCUCCUCGGCCCUCGGACGCGUAUAGUCCUCGCGGGGCACGACCUCAAACUCAAUUUCAACAUUACAUUACCGCCGAACACCACCAUGGACAACCUGAGGUGCUACAACAGCGACGGGCAUGUGUACUCGUACAAAUCGAAAGAAGAGGAACAGGAGGUGCUGCUUCGCUUCACCGACAGCCGCCAGUCCGGCGUGUACCACUGCAAGUGCAAACAUGCCAUCGUGUACCUGGCCGUACUUGUGCGUGACAAGGGCUUUGAAGAGACGUACCACGGUCUAGGGGAUGAGGUCGUCGCCCCUGUGGCCAUCCUGACUGUGCUACUUGUCAUCUUCAGCACUCUAGGAUCUGUUUACAUAUGCAAGAGCCAGGCUGCUCAUGGAGACCAGGGUGACAGAAGCGUGAGGGUUGUCACAGGGAGGGCCAGUCAGGAAGGAGACUCUGGGGGCCAGGAAGGAAAUGAUGAGGAAGAGGCCGCUGACAACUCUGUGUACACGACCCUGGAGUCUCGCCCGGCAUCGAUUUAUGAAGUGUUGGAUCCAUCAGCGUCAAACAGCGGGACACAAUCAAAGAAAAAGAGCAAGAAGGGGUCAAAGAAAAAGGAUGAAACUGCUUCUGCAGAGGAUGGGAUCUUUGAAUCAGUCUAUGCGAAUCUGUGAUGAAUCACUGACUGUAACCUAGUCAGUCUGUUUCUAUUGUAAAAUAUUUAGACUGCCUUAUUAACCUUUUGGUCUGUUGUCAUUGUAUGUACAUUGUAAUCUCUGCUGUUAUACUGUGA